rnacentral:ribozyme from 14 species
AGGUCGCAACUCUUGUUUUUUUUUUGUUUUUUUUUGUUUUUUGUUUUGUUUCAAGCCUGUUGGGAAGUAUUCCAACAAGGACAAGAGUCAACGAUACUAUAUACUGCCCGUGAACAAUACUAA